GGCUGCGCUCUGCCGGGGGAGGAGGAGGAGGAGGAGGAGGAGGAGGCGGAGGCGGAGGCGGGGAGGGAGGCAGCGAGCGGGUUGUGCUGGCGCUGCCCCCGCUGCCUGCCGGGCGCCGCUGCCUUGCCCGUCGCUCCGGAGGGGAGAGGCCGAGCCUGCCGCUCUCGGCUGCUUUCCCUCCCCGGCCCCCGCGUGGGGCAGCUCCUGCCCCCCUCCCCCCGUGUCCCCGGUAGCCUCCCACCCCCUCGGCAGGGCUGAGGGAGGGACAGUCCCCGUCUGCGGGAACGGGGAGCCCCCGGCUCCCGAGUGCUGCCGGAGGGGACGGGCCCGGCAGCCCUGGGCCGCGUCCCCGCGUCCCUCCGGGGCAGCGCCCCGCCUGCGCUGGCCCCGCGGGUGCGGUGUGUCCGGGGACGGGCGCACGGCUGGAUUCGGAGGAGGCCUGGCCGGGAGUAAUCCCCCCGUCUCUGCCGUGUUGGCCAGCGUGUGCCCCUGCCUCUGCUCUCCUCCGGGGAUUGCAGUCCAGCACCGACAGCAAAGACGGCGCCGGUCAGCUGAGGGAAUAGGUACCAAACCUAUCAUAGGUGCCUUCUCAGCAUGGGAACAGGAGAAACCGGAACAGCUGGGAAUCCUGAGAGAUUGGUUAUCGACAUCUGACUGCAGCAGGUUGAGACUGCGUCAAUGGGAAUCAUUGAUUUUUCUGAAGAAAAAAAAAGAAAAGAAAAAUCGACCCCAAACAGACCUCCUCCUCCAGCUCUUGUGGCUCUGUCACCAGUGGCUCAUUUCCAGAUGUCUGUUGUUCUCGUCUAGAAACGAACCCGGAGCCCAGGCUGUGGCUACGCAGGAAUCUGCGUUUUGAAAUGUUACUCUCGGGCCCUGUAAACUUUUGUCAUCAGUCCGUGGGGGACGCAGCCUGGAUCUGCUCAGAGGUUCAGUUGUCCUGAAACUACAUUUUUACUUGAACAAGCUAUGCACGGGAAGGAUUUUGCCCCAGCCCAACUUCUGGUGAGGGAGGUGUGUAUCUUUCCCACCUUCUUCCUGGGAAGAGUCUAGCUCACGAAUCCUGGUCUGUAUCAAAUCGAAAGGCGAGGAUGCACCGAAACAGAGCUGGGACAGACAGAAGAAGUGAUGAACAGCUCUGGCUUGAGCCUGCGCCGUGAAGACACCCAAAUUUCACUGGCAAUCCUGGCUGAAGGAUUUUCCAUCUCUGCUGCAGCUCGCUUCCCCCUUGGGCCUGGGCCGCACAUUUGGUGGCAAGCAGUGGGGCAGGAGAUGGGAACGACCGGCUGGUGGGAGGGAGCUAUUCACCCCGGCGCUGCUGUCAAAACAGGAUCUGGGUAACCACAUCCUCAGCUCCGCCGCUGCGGCAGGUUGGGGAGGCCACGCUGCGCGCCGGCUGGCGGAGACGAUUCGCUCCGGAGCCGCGUUUCCGCGGCGUGGCUGUGUGACGCCUUGCGGCGGUGCGAGCCGGGGGACGUAGGGAAUGGGAGCGGGAUGCUCCGGCCAAGGGCCCCGAGGCUCUGUCGUAACGCAGACGUUGGCUCUCGUGUUUCUGCCGGCUCAGUCGCUGGGGAAGCAGGCGGAGAGGUAGCUUCUUAAAGUGCGGUAGCCGAAGCAGGCGGAGAGGUAACUUCUUAAAGUGCGGUAGCCAACGCAGGCGGAGCGGCCGUCGGGCAGCCUGCGUGCUGGCGCCCAGCGGCAGCAACCCGCGCCACGCUCGGCCCGUGCUUCCCGGGGCCUCCCCGCCGAGCUUCCCGGCUCCGGCCUCCUUCGCUGGGCGCCGGAGGCACGUUUCAAUGACUAUAAAAGAGCGGUGGUGUGCGCAGCCCUCUGCGAUCCUUAUUUGCGCGACGAGCUGU
rnacentral:lncRNA from 1 species